AUNNNNNAUUUGUUUUACUUACUUUAAAUUUUAAAAACAUCUACUGAAAAGUAAACUUAAAAUUUUUUAAAGAAAAGAUAUUUACCUUUAGUAUCAGGGUUAAUUAAAUAUUUCAUAAUCUCUAUCUCCUGAAAAGAAAAGAACUACUAUUUUAAAUAAAAAUAUAUAUAAAUAUAUUAAUAAUAAAAUAAUAGAAAUUACACUUUAAUCGAAUUUCUUGAUACCCGGUAUUUUACUAAAUAAAAAUUUAAUAUAAACAUUUUAUAGUAAAAUCUAUAAAUUUUAAUAAAUAAAGGUAUUUCCUAUAUUAGAAUUAAAAUUUUUCAAAAAAUUUAACAAUUUAAAUAUUUAAAAAUUAAUUUUUAAAAUUAAAAUUCCUUUUUUAAAAAUUAAAUAAUAAUUAAAUAAGUAUUCUAUUAAAUUUUUUUUAAAAAAUUUAGCUAAAAAAGGAGUGACUGUUUAACAAAAACAUUUCUUUAAGAAAUUAUUUAAAGUAAAACCUGCUCAAUGAAUAAUUUAAAAGCCGCAGUAAUUUAACUGUGCUAAGGUAGCAUAAUCAUUAGUCUCUUAAUUAGAGACUAGAAUGAAUGGUUUAACAUUUCCUUAACUUUUUUAACAAUAAAUAUAAAAAUUAUAUUAAAUAUAAAAAUAUAUUUAUGAAAUAAUUAGACGACAAGACCCUUUCAAACUUUACUAAAGUUUAGCUGGGGUAGCUACAUAAUUAUAAUCUUACUAAUCUUAAAUAAAAGACCCAAUAUAAAUUGAUUAAAUGAACAAGUUACUGAAGGGAUAACAGCAUAAUAAAUUUAUAUAGCUCUUAUUAAAAAAUUAGUUUAUGACCUCGAUGUUGAAUUAUUUUACUCCUAGACGCAAGAGUAUAGAAAGUAGGUCUGUUCGACCUUUAAAUUUUUACAUGAUUUGAGUUCAAAUCGGCGUAAGCCAGAUUGGAUUCUAUCUAUUAUCUUAUUCUUUUAGUACGAAAGGACCAAAGAAACUUUAAAACUUGU
rnacentral:rRNA from 1 species